rnacentral:sRNA from 1 species
GCCAGGGGAUUUGGGAUUUGGGAUUUGGGCUCUGGGUGCCUACGACCAUCGAAAAAUCAAUUCGAAAGAAGAUAUUUCCCAUGGGGCCGCCGCAGCUCUCGAUCUUUGAGGGAUUUUCCAAAACUCCUUUCAUCCACGGUUCAGGCAGAAAUGUUGCUAUUUUUACAUGCAAUGUUCGGAUUUCAAACAACAUUUACAACAAAGGGUGAUGUAAAAUAAACAUAAAAAAUAUCAAAUAAAAUAAAACUGGAGAAUAAGGGGCAAACAAAGAGAAGAAAUGUGUAAACCUACAAGAGCUUAACUGGGUUGUUUCUACGGACA